rnacentral:rRNA from 1 species
UACGAAGGGGGCUAGCGUUGCUCGGAAUUACUGGGCGUAAAGCGCACGUAGCGGCUUCUUAAGUCGGUGGUGAAAUCCUGGAGCUCAACUCCAGAACUGCCUUCGAUACUGGGAGCUCGAGUCCGGGAGAGGUGAGUGGAACUGCGAGUGUAGAGGUGAAAUUCGUAGAUAUUCGCAAGAACACCAGUGGCGAAGGCGGCUCACUGGCCCGGUACUGACGCUGAGGUGCGAAAGCG